AUUGAACGCUGGCGGCAUGCCUUACACAUGCAAGUCGAACGGUAACAGGUCUUCGGAUGCUGACGAGUGGCGAACGGGUGAGUAAUACAUGGGAACGUGCCUAGUAGUGGGGAUAACUACUCGAAAGAGUGGCUAAUACCGCAUGAGAUCUACGGAUAAAAGCAGGGGAUCGCAAGACCUUGUGCUACUAGAGCGGCCGAUGGCAGAUUAGGUAGUUGGUGGGAUAAAAGCUUACCAAGCCGACGAUCUGUAGCUGGUCUGAGAGGACGAUCAGCCACACUGGGACUGAGACACGGCCCAGACUCCUACGGGAGGCAGCAGUGGGGAAUUUUGGACAAUGGGCGAAAGCCUGAUCCAGCAAUGCCGCGUGCAGGAUGAAGGCCUUCGGGUUGUAAACUGCUUUUGUACGGAACGAAAAGCCCCGGGUUAAUACCCUGGGGUCAUGACGGUACCGUAAGAAUAAGCACCGGCUAACUACGUGCCAGCCGCCGCCGUAA
rnacentral:rRNA from 1 species